GGUCAUACGAUGGCAUCAGAAUAUGACGAAAGGUUUGGCGGUGAAGGAUGGGGAUGCGUCUGAUUAGCUUGUUGGUGAGGUAACGGCUCACCAAGGCGACGAUCAGUAGGGGUUCUGAGAGGAAGGUCCCCCACAUUGGAACUGAGACACGGUCCAAACUCCUACGGGAGGCAGCAGUGAGGAAUAUUGGUCAAUGGGCGAGAGCCUGAACCAGCCAAGUAGCGUGCAGGAAGACGGCCCUAUGGGUUGUAAACUGCUUUUAUAUGGGGAUAAAGUGAGUUACGUGUAGCUUAUUGCAGGUACCAUAUGAAUAAGGACCGGCUAAUUCCGUGCCAGCAGCCGCGGUAAUACGGAAGGUCCAGGCGUUAUCCGGAUUUAUUGGGUUUAAAGGGAGCGUAGGCCGCCCCUUAAGCGUGUUGUGAAAUGCCGCGGCUCAACCGUGGCACUGCAGCGCGAACUGGGGGGCUUGAGUGCACGCAACGCAGGCGGAAUUCGUGGUGUAGCGGUGAAAUGCUUAGAUACCACGAAGAACUCCGAUUGCGAAGGCAGCUUGCGGGAGUGCGACUGACGCUGAAGCUCGAAGGUGCGGGUAUCGAACAGGAUUAGAUACCCUGGUAGUCCGCACAGUAAACGAUGGAUGCCCGCUGUGUGCCUUCAUGGUACGCUUCCAGGGGAAAGCGUUAAGCAUCCCACCUGGGGAGUACGCC
rnacentral:rRNA from 1 species